GCCGGGGUGGCGAAAUUGGCAAACGCACGGGAUUCAAAAUCCCGCGGGACCUGUGCGCCCUUGAGGGUUCAAGUCCCUCCCCCGGCA
rnacentral:tRNA from 1 species